UACGUAGGUGGCGAGCGUUAUCCGGAUUUAUUGGGUUUAAAGGGUGCGUAGGCGGCUGAUUAAGUCAGCGGUGAAAGGUAGCAGCUUAACUGUUUUACAUGCCGUUGAUACUGGUUAGCUUGAGUUGACAGAAGGCAGAUAGAAUUUCUGGUGUAGCGGUGAAAUGCUUAGAUACCAGGAGGAAUACCGAUUGCGAAGGCAGUCUGCUGCAGUCACACUGACGCUGAGGCACGAAAGUGCGGGGAUCAAACAGG
rnacentral:rRNA from 2 species